AUAGGGGAGCCGGAGGGAAACCGAGUCUUAAUUGGGCGUUAAGUUGCAGGGUAUAGACCCGAAACCCGGUGAUCUAGCCAUGGGCAGGUUGAAGGUUGGGUAACACUAACUGGAGGACCGAACCGACUAAUGUUGAAAAAUUAGCGGAUGACCUGUGGCUGGGGGUGAAAGGCCAAUCAAACCGGGAGAUAGCUGGUUCUCCCCGAAAGCUAUUUAGGUAGCGCCUCGUGAAUUCAUCUCCGGGGGUAGAGCACUGUUUCGGCUAGGGGGCCAUCCCGGCUUACCAACCCGAUGCAAACUGCGAAUACCGGAGAAUGUUAUCACGGGAGACACACGGCGGGUGCUAACGUCCGUCGUGAAGAGGGAAACAACCCAGACCGCCAGCUAAGGUCCCAAAGUCAUGGUUAAGUGGGAAACGAUGUGGGAAGGCCCAGACAGCCAGGAUGUUGGCUUAGAAGCAGCCAUCAUUUAAAGAAAGCGUAAUAGCUCACUGGUCGAGUCGGCCUGCGCGGAAGAUGUAACGGGGCUAAACCAUGCACCGAAGCUGCGGCAGCGACGCUGAUGCGUUGUUGGGUAGGGGAGCGUUCUGUAAGCCUGCGAAGGUGGCCUGUGAGGGUUGCUGGAGGUAUCAGAAGUGCGAAUGCUGACAUAAGUAACGAUAAAGCGGGUGAAAAGCCCGCUCGCCGGAAGACCAAGGGUUCCUGUCCAACGUUAAUCGGGGCAGGGUGAGUCGACCCCUAAGGCGAGGCCGAAAGGCGUAGUCGAUGGGAAACGGGUUAAUAUUCCCGUACUUGGUGUUACUGCGAAGGGGGGACGGAGAAGGCUAUGUUGGCCGGGCGACGGUUGUCCCGGUUUAAGCGUGUAGGUGUGUGUUCCAGGUAAAUCCGGUUCACUUUAACACUGAGGCGUGAUGACGAGGCACUACGGUGCUGAAGCAACAAAUGCCCUGCUUCCAGGAAAAGCCUCUAAGCAUCAGGUAACAUCAAAUCGUACCCCAAACCGACACAGGUGGUCAGGUAGAGAAUACCAAGGCGCUUGAGAGAACUCGGGUGAAGGAACUAGGCAAAAUGGUGCCGUAACUUCGGGAGAAGGCACGCUGACACGUAGGUGAAGUGAUUUACUCAUGGAGCUGAAGUCAGUCGAAGAUACCAGCUGGCUGCAACUGUUUAUUAAAAACACAGCACUGUGCAAACACGAAAGUGGACGUAUACGGUGUGACGCCUGCCCGGUGCCGGAAGGUUAAUUGAUGGGGUCAGCGCAAGCGAAGCUCCUGAUCGAAGCCCCGGUAAACGGCGGCCGUAACUAUAACGGUCCUAAGGUAGCGAAAUUCCUUGUCGGGUAAGUUCCGACCUGCACGAAUGGCGUAAUGAUGGCCAGGCUGUCUCCACCCGAGACUCAGUGAAAUUGAACUCGCUGUGAAGAUGCAGUGUACCCGCGGCAAGACGGAAAGACCCCGUGAACCUUUACUAUAGCUUGACACUGAACAUUGAGCCUUGAUGUGUAGGAUAGGUGGGAGGCUUUGAAGUGUGGACGCCAGUCUGCAUGGAGCCGGCCUUGAAAUACCACCCUUUAAUGUUUGAUGUUCUAACGUGGACCCGUGAUCCGGGUUGCGGACAGUGUCUGGUGGGUAGUUUGACUGGGGCGGUCUCCUCCUAAAGAGUAACGGAGGAGCACGAAGGUUGGCUAAUCCUGGUCGGACAUCAGGAGGUUAGUGCAAUGGCAUAAGCCAGCUUGACUGCGAGCGUGACGGCGCGAGCAGGUGCGAAAGCAGGUCAUAGUGAUCCGGUGGUUCUGAAUGGAAGGGCCAUCGCUCAACGGAUAAAAGGUACUCCGGGGAUAACAGGCUGAUACCGCCCAAGAGUUCAUAUCGACGGCGGUGUUUGGCACCUCGAUGUCGGCUCAUCACAUCCUGGGGCUGAAGUAGGUCCCAAGGGUAUGGCUGUUCGCCAUUUAAAGUGGUACGCGAGCUGGGUUUAGAACGUCGUGAGACAGUUCGGUCCCUAUCUGCCGUGGGCGCUGGAGAACUGAGGGGGGCUGCUCCUAGUACGAGAGGACCGGAGUGGACGCAUCACUGGUGUUCGGGUUGUCAUGCCAAUGGCACUGCCCGGUAGCUAAAUGCGGAAGAGAUAAGUGCUGAAAGCAUCUAAGCACGAAACUUGCCCCGAGAUGAGUUCU
rnacentral:rRNA from 1 species